AAACUUUCAACAACGGAUCUCUUGGUUCUGGCAUCAAUGAAAAACGCAGCGAAAUGCGAUAAGUAAUGUGAAUUGCAAAAUUCAGUGAAUCAUCGAAUCUUUGAACGCACAUUGCGCCCGCCAGUAUUCUGGCGGGCAUGCCUGUCCGAGCGUCAUUU
rnacentral:rRNA from 1 species